GAUGAACGCUAGCGGCAGGCCUAACACAUGCAAGUCGAACGGCAGCACGGGAGCAAUCCUGGUGGCGAGUGGCGAACGGGUGAGUAAUAUAUCGGAACGUGCCCAGUCGUGGGGAUAACGUAGCGAAAGCUACGCUAAUACCGCAUACGAUCUAUGGAUGAAAGCGGGGGAUCGCAAGACCUCGCGCGAUUGGAGCGGCCGAUAUCAGAUUAGGUAGUUGGUGAGGUAAGGCUCACCAAGCCGACGAUCUGUAGCUGGUCUGAGAGGACGACCAGCCACACUGGGACUGAGACACGGCCCAGACUCCUACGGAGGCAGCAGUGGGAAUUUUGGACAAUGGGCGCAAGCCUGAUCCAGCAAUGCCGCGUGCAGGAUGAAGGCCU
rnacentral:rRNA from 1 species